CUGCAAGACAAACGCUGAUGGUGGCAGCAACCAAACCAAAAUGUCUGUGUGGCUCCGCUCCGGGUGUCCUCAGCAGACAUGUGGCACAGCCCCCCUUCCAAGAAACGCCGGUGGCUCUGGUGCUGGCCAAGCUUUGAGCCACCACAGAGCAGGGGGUGGCGGACACGCAGUCCCGGGCACACACCAAGACCAUUGAGGCUUGCAGCCCCAUUCCCAGCCUGUCCUCAGAGCCAGCAUUUCAAGGACAUCUGGCACCACCUGGACUUGAGGAGCUCAGUGAGUGCAGCAGCUCUGCGGAGGAGCUGGGAGACCUUCCGUAACAAGACAAUGCACUGAGGGGACACGUCAGCAGCAGGGAUCAGCCCUGGUGCAAGGAAAACCUUUGCAACGAGCCCCAAAAGCUCCUGUUCACCCCAGUCUGAAGUGUGCGGUUGUUGCAUCUCCAGCGACCCUGGGCCACCCGCAAGAACCAGCCCGGCUGGGCCGGGAGAGGCGCGGGGAGGGAGCCGAUCUGCAAACCUCUGUGAUAUCUCUGUUAUUCUCCAUGUACUGGCUCCCAGAAGCAUGCAGUUAAUUCCCGUGAAAUCUUUCAAUUCAUUAUUUGAUAAGAAGAUUGGUUUUCACAAAUGAGCAGCUUUCAAAAAUGUCUGAGUAUACAUAAUC